ACGGGUGAGGAAUACAUCGGAAUCUACUUUUUCGUGGGGGAUAACGUAGGGAAACUUACGCUAAUACCGCAUACGACCUACGGGUGAAAGCAGGGGAUCUUCGGACCUUGCGCGAUUGAAUGAGCCGAUGUCGGAUUAGCUAGUUGGCGGGGUAAAGGCCCACCAAGGCGACGAUCCGUAGCUGGUCUGAAAGGAUGAUCAGCCACACUGGAACUGAGACACGGUCCAGACUCCUACGGGAGGCAGCAGUGGGGAAUAUUGGACAAUGGGCGCAAGCCUGAUCCAGCCAUACCGCGUGGGUGAAGAAGGCCUUCGGGUUGUAAAGCCCUUUUGUUGGGAAAGAAAUCCAGCCGGCUAAUACCUGGUUGGGAUGACGGUACCCAAAGAAUAAGCACCGGCUAACUUCGUGCCAGCAGCCGCGGUAAUACGAAGGGUGCAAGCGUUACUCGGAAUUACUGGGCGUAAAGCGUGCGUAGGUGGUUGUUUAAGUCUGUUGUGAAAGCCCUGGGCUCAACCUGGGAACUGCAGUGGAAACUGGACAACUAGAGUGUGGUAGAGGGUAGCGGAAUUCCCGGUGU
rnacentral:rRNA from 1 species